rnacentral:lncRNA from 1 species
GCCCGGUAUGAAGAGGGACAUAGUGGAUCACUUGUCCAAGUGACAAAACUGUCAUCAUGGAAAGUGUGGACAACAAAGGCCCACGGGGUUGCUUCAGAGGAUGUCAUUAGCCAUAUCCUCGACAACCCUACAUAUGCGAUGCAAUUUUACAAAAGACAGAAAGAAAUAGUUGAACACUUUCCAGCAGCUGCAACAAUCCCAGCAGAUAUAUCGAGGACAAGUUCCUCAACAGUUGCACAGUUUAAUCUCUUAAAAAUUGAAAUCACAACGGCGCUACCCCAAUAAUCUUACAACUUCCAUGUUUGGCAAACAGGUAUGCACGCUUUCAUCUGAAUCACCAAUAUUUCAAUCUUUUAGCAUUUGUCAUUGAUUUCAAUUAGUUUAUUUGAGCCAUUGUAAAUUUUUUUCAGAAUUCUUCCACUGCGACUGUUAUUUCAAUUUAAAACACCAAAAAAGUCUGCCAAAAUCAUCGGCAAAAUCGGUCAUCACAACUCUAUUUGUUUCUGUCUCCUAUUUCUGACUUUGAUCAACAAAUGAUCCUCUUAAACUUUUGUUUUUUUCUCCCGUUCUUUCAAAAAUUGAUGAUAGAGAAUUAUUUGCUAUUACAUUGAAAUGAACCUUUUUAGGAUGUAGGUUCCAUAUAUUAGUGAAUCUGAAUUUGGUACUCUGGUGACUGGUGUUUUUCUUUUGAAGCGUAUGGAUCCUCCAAAAAUGCAAUACUUUGAAGGAUUUGACAUGCAGCCGAUGACAUUUUUAAAGAUUUCGAGUCAACAUAGGUUAUAAGUAAUGCCAAAAGAAGUCCAUGAGUGUUUUGCAAUCUAAAUGGGGAGUAAAAUACCUAAGCGAAAAAGAAGAGUGAGGGACACUACGUCUAAAGUAGAUUGAAAAUUACAGUGAAGGAAAUGGAUGAGGAGUUCCCAUAGUAAUUAUUUUAAUUGUUCCAGAACCCUCACCGUUCAUGAUUCUCUAUUAAACUAAAUUUCAGUCUUACCAACUGCUGUAUUGUACCAGGUUGUACAUGCUCCACCAUUGUCAACCCACUGUUUAAUUUGUAUGUUUUGUCCCAUUAAUCUACUUCUGAAUCUGCAAACGACAAGUAUCUGCAGCAAAAUAAAUUUGUCAUUUAAGUUUCAACCACUGUAUGUGAGCCUAAAGAGAAGAAAGUUUAGUCUACAAAUAGUUCGAGUUAUCAAUUAGGAUCAGUCCCACACAGGCCGCAGAGAAAGAGACAAGAACAUCCAAGAUGCGCUAAGGCGAAGGCAUAUGUAAAACAGAUGGGAGCGAGGAAAAAAAGCUCAAUAGACCUGUCCGGCAUCAAUCUUUAAUUCUUUUCGAGAUGCCAUCAACAUUGCCUGUGCACAAAAGAAAAAUAUUUGUAAGUUGAAAUUAUUGCGUAGAACAAUAUCUUUCACUGGCACGCUUGUAUGCUUAUAUUUUCUCCUGUUUUCUCAGAUAGACCUACCUAUUGUAUUAAACAUCCAUAAGUUUCCCCAAUCUUCAGUAACAUUAUAUCGCCUUUAACUUAUUAAUAGAUUUUCUAUGCAUUUUAUCAAUGCUAAAUGCAUCCUCUUGCCUUACCAACUUUAUCGCUUUUGAAGAAUGCCUUUUGGAAAACCAUUUUCUACUACGCAUAAACCACUGUUAUGAAGGUUCUAGAAUCGUCUAUCAGUUCCAUCAAUGGAAGCUGAC